rnacentral:rRNA from 1 species
AGUGAACGCUGGCGGUAGGCCUAACACAUGCAAGUCGAACGGCAGCACAGUAAGAGCUUGCUAUUACGGGUGGCGAGUGGCGGACGGGUGAGGAAUACAUCGGAAUCUACUUUUUCGUGGGGGAUAACGUAGGGAAACUUACGCUAAUACCGCAUAUGACCUACGGGUGAAAGCAGGGGAUCUUCGGACCUUGCGCGACUGAAUGAGCCGAUGUCGGAUUAGCUAGUUGGCGGGGUAAAGGCCCACCAAGGCGACGAUCCGUAGCUGGUCUGAGAGGAUGAUCAGCGACACUGGAACUGAGACGCGGUCCAGACUCCUACGGGAGACGGCAGUGGGGAAUAUUGGACAAUGGGCGCAAGCCUGAUCCAGCCAUAGCGCGUGGGUGAAGAAGGCCUUCGGGUUGUAAAGCCCUUUUGUUUGGAAAGAAAAGCAGCAGGUUAAUACGCCGCUGUUCUGACGGUACCCAAAGAAUAAGCACCGGCUAACUUCGUG